GGCUCCGCGCUGCGCGCUCCUCCUCGCUCCAGCUCCCCACUCUCGGGAUGUGUCUCCGCCGUAGGACGGGCUAUGGCCACCACGACUUCCGGGUUCCGUCAUUUCGUUCUCCCGCCGCCGACCCGCGCCGCCAAACUGAGGCUCUACUAUAAGCCCGGCUGCAGCCAACCUGCCAACACCUACUGACACUCACUCAUCUCCCAGAGAGAGAAAGAGAGCGCGAGAGAGCGAGCGCGAGUGAGAGCGAGCGAGAAAGAGAGAGAGGGAAAGACAAAAUACCUACCAGAGAGGGGGGGAGGAAGUCCAAUUUUUGCAAACUAUUCAUUUUUUUCUUGGUUUUCUCCUUGCUUUCUUUGAACAAUACUUUAAAAAGAGAGGAUCAUAUUAGAGCUAUUUUGGGGGCAAAGCUAAAAGAGGGGGGAGGGGGGAGGAAGAAUUCAAGAAGCAGAAACCCCUCGCGGAGUUUUACUG
rnacentral:lncRNA from 1 species